rnacentral:rRNA from 1 species
UUAGUAACGCGUGGGAACAAACCUUUCGGUAAGGAAUAGCCACUGGAAACGGUGAGUAAUACCUUAUACGCCCUUCGGGGGAAAGAUUUAUCGCCGAGAGAUUGGCCCGCGUUAGAUUAGAUAGUUGGUGGGGUAAUGGCCUACCAAGUCUACGAUCUAUAGCUGGUUUUAGAGGAUGAUCAGCAACACUGGGACUGAGACACGGCCCAGACUCCUACGGGAGGCAGCAGUGGGGAAUCUUGGACAAUGGGCGCAAGCCUGAUCCAGCCAUGCCGCGUGAGUGAUGAAGGCCUUAGGGUCGUAAAGCUCUUUCGCCAGGGAUGAUAAUGACAGUACCUGGUAAAGAAACCCCGGCUAACUCCGUGCCAGCAGCCGCGGUAAUACGGAGGGGGUUAGCGUUGUUCGGAAUUACUGGGCGUAAAGCGCGCGUAGGCGGAUUAUUAAGUUAGAGGUGAAAUCCCAGGGCUCAACCCUGGAACUGCCUUUAAUACUGGUAGUCUAGAGUUCGAGAGAGGUGAGUGGAAUUCCGAGUGUAGAGGUGAAAUU